GUCCCCGCACAAGCAGCGGAGCGUGUGGUUUAAUUCGUUGCUACACGAAGAACCUUACCUGGGUUUGACAUAGCAGUGGUAGGGAAGCGAAAGCGGACCGACCCUUCGGGGAGCUGUUACAGGUGUUGCAUGGCUGUCGUCAGCUCGUGUCGUGAGAUGUUCGGUUAAGUCCGCUAACGAGCGCAACCCGCGUUGUGUGUUACAAGUGUCACACAAUACCGCCGGUAUUAAGUCGGAGGAAGGUGCGGAUGACGUCAAGUCAGCAUGACCUUUAUAUCCAGGGCUACACACACGCUACAAUGGUCAGCACAAUAGGUUGCCAAGUCGUGAGACGGAGCCAAUCCUCCAAAGCUGGCCUCAGUUCAGAUUGCAGGCUGCAACUCGCCUGCAUGAAGUUGGAGUUGCUAGUAAACGCAGGUCAGCUAUACUGCGUUGAAUACGUUCCCGGGGAUU
rnacentral:rRNA from 1 species